CAAAAAGGGAAUUGAAACAACCAUCUCAUCUGACCUUAUAUUUCAGAUCAAGAAUUUGCACAAUAAUUUGUGUCAAGCUCUUUAUCAUGUGGCUGAAGCAAAGAAAUCUCAAGAGAGUGUUGUUGUACAUUUAUAUUAUUGUGGGGCUUUAUCACCUGAGUUUGGCUGAUUCAGCUGUUCCCCACCUCUAAAAGGGUGAAAUGCUGCCCUGCUCAGCUCUGGCUGCACAUCCUUGCAAUGGGUCUUAUGCUGGUUUCCACACCUUCAGCACCUCUGCUGCCACUGGAUUCGCUGAAUGGGCAGAGCAGUCCACAGAAUGAGGCUUCUACUGGGCCAGUAAGCAGAGCUGUGCAGGGGGCUGUGGAUCUCAUGGGCCUGGAGCUGACACAGAGGGCACACUGACCUCCAAGACCCUGACACUGCGCUGAGAGGUGGGAAAGCACAAGAGAUCCUGACAGCUAAGUUACUGAGAAGGAGAAAGACUUUCCUCAAGCUGGUUAACUUCCUCAGUACCAGAGGUCUGGCAAAGAAAAGCAGAGAAACUACCAGUGGGAUGCUGCCUGUCUCCACAGCAACCAGCAGCCAGGAGACCUUUCUUCCCUGCCCGCAUUGACUGCCCUCUG
rnacentral:lncRNA from 1 species